rnacentral:rRNA from 1 species
UUAAGCGACUAAGCGUACACGGUGGAUGCCCUGGCAGUCAGAGGCGAUGAAGGACGUGCUAAUCUGCGAUAAGCGUCGGUAAGGUGAUAUGAACCGUUAUAACCGGCGAUUUCCGAAUGGGGAAACCCAGUGUGUUUCGACACACUAUCAUUAACUGAAUCCAUAGGUUAAUGAGGCGAACCGGGGGAACUGAAACAUCUAAGUACCCCGAGGAAAAGAAAUCAACCGAGAUUCCCCCAGUAGCGGCGAGCGAACGGGGAGCAGCCCAGAGCCUGAAUCAGUGUGUGUGUUAGUGGAAGCGUCUGGAAAGGCGCGCGAUACAGGGUGACAGCCCCGUACACAAAAAUGCACAUGCUGUGAGCUCGAUGAGUAGGGCGGGACACGUGGUAUCCUGUCUGAAUAUGGGGGGACCAUCCUCCAAGGCUAAAUACUCCUGACUGACCGAUAGUGAACCAGUACCGUGAGGGAAAGGCGAAAAGAACCCCGGCGAGGGGAGUGAAAAAGAACCUGAAACCGUGUACGUACAAGCAGUGGGAGCACGCUUAGGCGUGUGACUGCGUACCUUUUGUAUAAUGGGUCAGCGACUUAUAUUCUGUAGCAAGGUUAACCGAAUAGGGGAGCCGAAGGGAAACCGAGUCUUAACUGGGCGUUAAGUUGCAGGGUAUAGACCCGAAACCCGGUGAUCUAGCCAUGGGCAGGUUGAAGGUUGGGUAACACUAACUGGAGGACCGAACCGACUAAUGUUGAAAAAUUAGCGGAUGACUUGUGGCUGGGGGUGAAAGGCCAAUCAAACCGGGAGAUAGCUGGUUCUCCCCGAAAGCUAUUUAGGUAGCGCCUCGUGAAUUCAUCUCCGGGGGUAGAGCACUGUUUCGGCAAGGGGGUCAUCCCGACUUACCAACCCGAUGCAAACUGCGAAUACCGGAGAAUGUUAUCACGGGAGACACACGGCGGGUGCUAACGUCCGUCGUGAAGAGGGAAACAACCCAGACCGCCAGCUAAGGUCCCAAAGUCAUGGUUAAGUGGGAAACGAUGUGGGAAGGCCCAGACAGCCAGGAUGUUGGCUUAGAAGCAGCCAUCAUUUAAAGAAAGCGUAAUAGCUCACUGGUCGAGUCGGCCUGCGCGGAAGAUGUAACGGGGCUAAACCAUGCACCGAAGCUGCGGCAGCGACACUGUGUGUUGUUGGGUAGGGGAGCGUUCUGUAAGCCUGCGAAGGUGUGCUGUGAGGCAUGCUGGAGGUAUCAGAAGUGCGAAUGCUGACAUAAGUAACGAUAAAGCGGGUGAAAAGCCCGCUCGCCGGAAGACCAAGGGUUCCUGUCCAACGUUAAUCGGGGCAGGGUGAGUCGACCCCUAAGGCGAGGCCGAAAGGCGUAGUCGAUGGGAAACAGGUUAAUAUUCCUGUACUUGGUGUUACUGCGAAGGGGGGACGGAGAAGGCUAUGUUGGCCGGGCGACGGUUGUCCCGGUUUAAGCGUGUAGGCUGGUUUUCCAGGCAAAUCCGGAAAAUCAAGGCUGAGGCGUGAUGACGAGGCACUACGGUGCUGAAGCAACAAAUGCCCUGCUUCCAGGAAAAGCCUCUAAGCAUCAGGUAACAUCAAAUCGUACCCCAAACCGACACAGGUGGUCAGGUAGAGAAUACCAAGGCGCUUGAGAGAACUCGGGUGAAGGAACUAGGCAAAAUGGUGCCGUAACUUCGGGAGAAGGCACGCUGAUAUGUAGGUGAAGUCCCUCGCGGAUGGAGCUGAAAUCAGUCGAAGAUACCAGCUGGCUGCAACUGUUUAUUAAAAACACAGCACUGUGCAAACACGAAAGUGGACGUAUACGGUGUGACGCCUGCCCGGUGCCGGAAGGUUAAUUGAUGGGGUUAGCGCAAGCGAAGCUCUUGAUCGAAGCCCCGGUAAACGGCGGCCGUAACUAUAACGGUCCUAAGGUAGCGAAAUUCCUUGUCGGGUAAGUUCCGACCUGCACGAAUGGCGUAAUGAUGGCCAGGCUGUCUCCACCCGAGACUCAGUGAAAUUGAACUCGCUGUGAAGAUGCAGUGUACCCGCGGCAAGACGGAAAGACCCCGUGAACCUUUACUAUAGCUUGACACUGAACAUUGAGCCUUGAUGUGUAGGAUAGGUGGGAGGCUUUGAAGUGUGGACGCCAGUCUGCAUGGAGCCGACCUUGAAAUACCACCCUUUAAUGUUUGAUGUUCUAACGUUGACCCGUGAUCCGGGUUGCGGACAGUGUCUGGUGGGUAGUUUGACUGGGGCGGUCUCCUCCUAAAGAGUAACGGAGGAGCACGAAGGUUGGCUAAUCCUGGUCGGACAUCAGGAGGUUAGUGCAAUGGCAUAAGCCAGCUUGACUGCGAGCGUGACGGCGCGAGCAGGUGCGAAAGCAGGUCAUAGUGAUCCGGUGGUUCUGAAUGGAAGGGCCAUCGCUCAACGGAUAAAAGGUACUCCGGGGAUAACAGGCUGAUACCGCCCAAGAGUUCAUAUCGACGGCGGUGUUUGGCACCUCGAUGUCGGCUCAUCACAUCCUGGGGCUGAAGUAGGUCCCAAGGGUAUGGCUGUUCGCCAUUUAAAGUGGUACGCGAGCUGGGUUUAGAACGUCGUGAGACAGUUCGGUCCCUAUCUGCCGUGGGCGCUGGAGAACUGAGGGGGGCUGCUCCUAGUACGAGAGGACCGGAGUGGACGCAUCACUGGUGUUCGGGUUGUCAUGCCAAUGGCACUGCCCGGUAGCUAAAUGCGGAAGAGAUAAGUGCUGAAAGCAUCUAAGCACGAAACUUGCCCCGAGAUGAGUUCUCCCUGACCCUUUAAGGGUCCUGAAGGAACGUUGAAGACGACGACGUUGAUAGGCCGGGUGUGUAAGCGCAGCGAUGCGUUGAGCUAACCGGUACUAAUGAACCGUGAGGCUUAACCUU